ensembl:lncRNA
AGGGAUGUGGGCUGGCCCAAAUACAUGUAUGACUCUCUUGACCAGGAGAAGUCUAAAUCAUCGAUCGCAGUUGCUUCGGUGUGCAGUUUGAACUUCGAACACGUAGCAUAGCCAACAAUCAGUCUGUCUGAGUUGCUCAUAUUCCAUGGUAGGAAAUAUACGUUAAGAAUGGCUGAGGAAUAUUCGUUCUCUUACAUGUUUUAUUUUUAAUUUAAAUAAGCAGCUCAUGUUAUUCACACGAUCUGACAACCUGACGCACUUCUUCCACAAGAACAUCUGGCAUAUGAACGGUCGACCGAUAUCAGUAUAGAAGGGGCUGUGGAGGACAACACCGUACCUUGCUCCCGUUACUGUCAUUUAAAUUGAUAAGGAAGACUCUACUUUGCUAAGUACGUCGAGUCAUGUGCAGGACUUAAUUAUCAAGGGACACAACAUGAGUAGUGGAAAAAUAACCACAUACUAAAUAUUACCAAAGUACUACAAUCAACAACUGGUUUACAUUCACAGGGGAAAAACAACCAACCUGUAGAUGUAUUGAUAAUUGUAAUGAAAGUUUUUGGUUGAUUAUCUUCAAAGAAAUUGUAUGUUUAGAUCUGGAACACGCUCUCAUAUACGCCGAUCCAGAGCAUCCCAAACAUGCUCAAUGGGUGACAUGUCCGGUGAGUAUGCUGGCCAUGCAAGAACUGAGAUGUUUUCAGCUUCCAGGGACUGUGUACAGAUCCUUGCAACAUGGAGCCGUGCAUUAUCAUGUUGCAACAUGAUGUGAUG